GUAUCCCCCAGCCUCUUGUUAAAGAACAGACUAGUAUCCAACCCCUACAACAGUAGCAUUAUGACUUUUUAGGGGUACAGUUGCUUGGAUAGUACAGAAAAGCCGUAUAUCAUUAUUUGGUUGAAAGUAGUUAAAUUGUGAAGCAUUUGCCAUCCUCAUCAGUCCUACAGUGCAACAAGUAUUAUUAUCCACUAGAGGAAAAGAUUUAGUGGGAUUCUUUUGAUCUUUUACUUGCAAGGGGUAGAACAAAAAGGGGAAUGUCUAUGGUCGACGAGGAAUGAUUAUUUUUAGCUUUUGUGGUUAAGAAAGUAGAAUUUCAAAGUUCAAAAGAUGAGUGCUGUGAAUGAGGGGGACCCUUUAAAAUCUUGAGAAAACCAUGGUUUCUAUGCAUGCGCAUUUGGUGAUUUGGGGUCCCA
rnacentral:misc_RNA from 1 species